rnacentral:rRNA from 1 species
GAUGAACACUAGCGAUAGGCUUAACACAUGCAAGUCGAGGGGCAGCACAUGAGCGGCAACACGAUGGUGGCGACCGGCGCACGGGUGAGUAACACGUAUGCGACCUGCCCAUAACUGGGGGAUAACCCGUCGAAAGGCGGACUAAUACCGCAUGACACCGCGACCCUGCAUGGGAUUGCGGUUAAAGAUUUAUCGGUUAUGGAUGGGCAUGCGUUCCAUUAGGUAGUUGGUAGGGUAACGGCCUACCAAGCCUGCGAUGGAUAGGGGUUCUGAGAGGAAGGUCCCCCACACUGGUACUGAGACACGGACCAGACUCCUACGGGAGGCAGCAGUGAGGAAUAUUGGUCAAUGGGCGAGAGCCUGAACCAGCCAAAUCGCGUGAAGGAUGAAGGUAUUAUGUAUUGUAAACUUCUUUUGUCGGGGAAUAAAGUGCAGCACGUGUGCUGUUUUGUAUGUACCCGAAGAAUAAGGAUCGGCUAACUCCGUGCCAGCCGCCGCGGUAAGAC